ACCCAAGUGGCUUAGUCAGUCAAGCGUCUGACUUCAGCUCAGGUUAUGAUCUCACAGUUUGUGGGUUCGAGCCCCGCAUCGGGCU
rnacentral:tRNA from 1 species